rnacentral:lncRNA from 1 species
AUGCUCCUUGCCCUGAUGCAAACACACACUUCAGUGUCAACCUUGAGUGAAGAACACGUCUGCAUCACAGCCAGGCAGACACACAGAGACACACACAGACACAAUCACACACAAUCACACACAAUCACACAGACACACACACAAGCACAAUCACACACACACACACACACACAGACACAAUCACCCACAGACACACACACACAGACACAAUCACACAGACACAAUCAUACACAGACACAGACACAAUCACAAUCACACACAGACACACAAUCACACACAGACACAAUCACACAGACACAAUCAUACACAGACACAGACACAAUCACAAUCACACACACACACACAAUCACACAGACACAGACACAAUCACACACACAACCACAGACACAGACACACACGGACACAAUCACACAAUCACAUACAGAUACAAUCACACACAGACACACAAUCACACACAAUCACAGAAACACACGGACACAGAACAAACACAACCACACAGACACAAUCACACACAUACACAGAUACACAGUCAUACACACACACAGACACAAGCAUACACAAUCACAUACAAUCACACAAAGUACAAUCACAGACCAAUCACACAGAAAGACACAGAACAGAUACCCACAAGCACACAGACACGGACACAAUCACACAGAGACACACACGAACAGAAUCACCCACAGAAACAGGUACAAUCACACACAGAUGCAUAGACACAAUCACACACAGAAACGGACACAGAACAGACUCACACACACACAAUCACACAGAUACACACAAUCACACACUGACAAUCACACACUGACACAAUCAGAAAGACACAAUCACACACAUACACAGGCACAAUCAUACACACAGUCACACACAGACACAAUCACAGACACACAAACACAAACAUACAGACACACAAUCACACACAGAUACACAGACAUAAUCAGGCACAGGAACACAAACACAAUCACACAGAUACAUACAGACACAGAACACACAAUCACCACAUACAGACACAAUCACAGAGAGACACACACAUAG